rnacentral:rRNA from 1 species
UACGUAGGGGGCAAGCGUUGUCCGGAUUUAUUGGGCGUAAAGAGCGUGUAGGCGGUUUGGUAGGUCCGCUGUGAAAACUCGAGGCUCAACCUCGAGACGCCGGUGGAAACCAUCGGACUAGAGUCCGGAAGAGGAGAGUGGAAUUCCUGGUGUAGCGGUGAAAUGCGCAGAUAUCAGGAAGAACACCCGUGGCUAAGGCGGCUCUCUAGUACGGUACUGACGCUGAGACGCGAAAGCGUGGGGAGCGAACAGG